UUUUCGAACGAAUUUGUUGACUCCUUUAUACUCAGCCUCUUAUUGAGAUGGGAAUAAAUUGUAGUUCAUACAUAUUAUCAUUUGAAUAAACCAAUGUUCUCUUGGCAUUAAAAGACAGGCACCAAGGAAUCAACCAUUCCCAACUCAACCCAGAAACAUGAAGAGGGAAAAUGAAAAGGACAAAAAGUAUAAAAAAAAGAAUCAA